GCAGUAGCCACGGGAAUACGAAGGGGGCUAGCGUUGCUCGGAAUCACUGGGCGUAAAGGGUGCGUAGGCGGGUCUUUAAGUCAGGGGUGAAAUCCUGGAGCUCAACUCCAGAACUGCCUUUGAUACUGAAGAUCUUGAGUUCGGGAGAGGUGAGUGGAACUGCGAGUGUAGAGGUGAAAUUCGUAGAUAUUCGCAAGAACACCAGUGGCGAAGGCGGCUCACUGGCCCGAUACUGACGCUGAGGCACGAAAGCGUGGGGAGCAAACAGGAUUAGAUACCCCGGUAGUCCCUGUCUCUUAUAC
rnacentral:rRNA from 1 species